UUGGCAGAUUCUGAGAUCAUUAAUUAUCGCAUCGCAUUACAUUUAUUAUCGCGAUAGUUUUAGAUUUUUGUUUUGCUGUUGUUUGUCGGGACAUUUAGUUUUUUUUCGGGACUCUGGACAUCAUACGAAAUGUCGGGAUAAUCCCGACGAAUCCCGACCAUCUGGCAACCCUAGUAGCAAUGCAUUCAGUGUAUAAAG